rnacentral:rRNA from 1 species
UACGGAGGGUGCGAGCGUUGUCCGGAAUCACUGGGCGUAAAGGGCGCGUAGGCGGCCUGAUGAGUAGGGGGUGAAAUCCUGAGGCUUAACCUCAGGGCUGCCUUCUAAACUGUCGGGCUCGAGCACAGUAGAGGCAGGUGGAAUUCCCGGUGUAGCGGUGGAAUGCGUAGAGAUCGGGAAGAACAUCGGUGGCGAAGGCGGUCUGCUGGGCCGUUGCUGACGCUGAGGCGCGACAGCGUGGGGAGCAAACAGG